rnacentral:rRNA from 1 species
GGGAUUGCCCUAGUAACGGCGAGUGAAGCGGCAACAGCUCAAAUUUGAAAUCUGGCGCAAGCCCGAGUUGUAAUUUGUAGAGGAUGCUUCUAGGUAGCGACCGGUCUAAGUUCCUUGGAACAGGACGUCAUAGAGGGUGAGAAUCCCGUAUGUGACCGGCCCGCACCUUCUACGUAGCUCCUUCGACGAGUCGAGUUGUUUGGGAAUGCAGCUCUAAAUGGGAGGUAAAUUUCUUCUAAAGCUAAAUACCGGCCAGAGACCGAUAGCGCACAAGUAGAGUGAUCGAAAGAUGAAAAGCACUUUGGAAAGAGAGUUAAAAAGCACGUGAAAUUGUUGAAAGGGAAGCGCUCACAACCAGACUUCUGGGCGGUGUUCCGCCGGUCUUCUGACCGGUCUACUCACCGUCCCGAGGCCAACAUCAUCUGGGACCGCUGGAUAAGACCUCAGGAAUGUAGCUUCCCUCGGGAAGUGUUAUAGCCUGUGGUGAUGCAGCGCGUCUCGGGUGAGGUCCGCGCUUCGGCAAGGAUGUUGGCGUAAUGGUUGUCAGCGGCCCGUCUUGAAACACGGACCAAGGAGUCUAACAUCUAUGCGAGUGUUCGGGUGUCAAACCCCUACGCGUAAUGAAAGUGAACGGAGGUGGGAAGCGUAAGCUGCACCAUCGACCGAUCCUGAUGUCCUCGGAUGGAUUUGAGUAAGAGCAUAGCUGUUGGGACCCGAAAGAUGG